UACGUAGGGGCAAGCGUUUGUCCGGAUUUAUUGGGCGUAAAGAGCGUGUAGGCGGCUUGGCAAGUCCGCUGUGAAAACUCGAGGCUUAACCUCGAGACGUCGGUGGAAACUGCUUGGCUAGAGUCCGGAAGAGGAGAGUGGAAUUCCGUGGAUGUAGCGGUGAAAUGCGCAGAUAUCAGGAAGAACACCCGUGGCUAAGGCGGCUCUCUAGUACGGUACUGGACGCUGAAGACGCG
rnacentral:rRNA from 1 species